rnacentral:rRNA from 1 species
ACUCCUGCGGGAGGCAGCAGUGGGGAAUAUUGCACAAUGGGCGCAAGCCUGAUGCAGCCAUGCCGCGUGUAUGAAGAAGGCCUUCGGGUUGUAAAGUACUUUCAGCGGGGAGGAAGGCAAUACGGUUAAUAACCGUGUUGAUUGACGUUACCCGCAGAAGAAGCACCGGCUAACUCCGUGCCAGCAGCCGCGGUAAUACGGAGGGUGCAAGCGUUAAUCGGAAUUACUGGGCGUAAAGCGCACGCAGGCGGUCUGUCAAGUCGGAUGUGAAAUCCCCGGGCUCAACCUGGGAACUGCAUUCGAAACUGGCAGGCUUGAGUCUUGUAGAGGGGGGUAGAAUUCCAGGUGUAGCGGUGAAAUGCGUAGAGAUCUGGAGGAAUACCGGUGGCGAAGGCGGCCCCCUGGACAAAGACUGACGCUCAGGUGCGAAAGCGUGGGGAGCAAACAGGAUUAGAUACCCGUGUAGUCCCAUGA